rnacentral:lncRNA from 1 species
UUGUUGACAUCUAUACAAAUUUAAAAAUAAUGACUGGAUUCAGUUUAAUUUAAUUGAAAAUUUUUUAGCCAAAUCCGAAUGAUACGCGCCUCACCUUGCUGACGAGUAUAAAGGAUUUGGAUACCCAGAAUUUGCUAAUGAGUAUGCAACAUCUCUAGCUAUGCUCUGCUAAUCGAAAUUGAAUUUUCUUUAUGUCAGAAAAUGGCCAGAAGAGCUGGCUUUCUCCUCAGAUUCUCUGUUAUUGCAACAAACAAACCCAUAAAUCCCAUAUUGUUUCAUGUCUCUUUCUCCUCCUCGGUUCCUACACCCCAAUUCGAACAAACCCAACAGCGCGAAAUCCUACAAAACUAUAGCAACACUAUUAGCGGCAAAGACCAUGAACGCUAUGAACAAAUGGACAAGUGAUAAGAUAAGAGGUCCACAAGAAUGCCGAUUCACAUCUAUUGCUGAUUUUUAGUUGCCUCAAAAUAGGUCAAUUAGUUAAUUUCUUAAGUGAAUUUUAUAUAUUUGUUUUGUUAUUAAGUAGCUGAGUCCAAAAGAAUAGGGAAGUUAAAUUUAGUUUUAUUUAUAAUUCUCUGGGACUCGAUAGGCUUACAAUGGUCGACUGAAGUUAUGGUCACGGUUCUAUUUAUAAUGACCUCGGAAAUCUUUGUUGAGGAGUUAUGGUCACGGUUUGAUCCUACGGAUUGUGAAGACUUUGAUGAAUCUCUUUUAAAAAUAAGACAACUCGGCUCUUUACAAAUCUAUAAAAAAGAGUUUGAGAGGUUAGGCAAUAGAGUGCAGGAUGGACUCAAAAGACUUUAGUAGGCUCGUUCAUAGGCGAACUGAAGUCAUUGAAGGAGGCUAUCAGCCUGGCUCGCAUGCGGGAUAAACAAUUAAUUCGACAAAAGAAAUAUAUACAACCAUUUGCGCAACAGACUGUUGCAUCUACAACGAAAAGUAAGGCAACAACUCUGAUGAAGGGACGUACCUGGGAGUAAAUGGUUGCUGCAGAUCUUGAUCUACUACUCCUUGGAUAUACAACCUACAAGGAAAAAAUAUUUUUUAAAUAAAACAUUUAAAUCAAAAUUCAUUUAUCAACAAUAAAUCAAACAAAUAACAAUAAACUAAAUAGCAAAUAAUUUGAAAUAAUUCUAAAUCAUAUUAUUAUUUCACAUAUAUACAAAUUUCAAUUUUAUAGUCUUUUUCUUUUUUUUUUAUGUAAAAUAAAAGUUUUGUUUUCUCUUAAUACUUUUAUUUAUUUAUUAUUAUUUUUUUGCCGCUAUAAAUUUAAAUGGGACUGUUAAGUCAGAUAAGCAAACUUGGCACAAAGUGCCAAAUAACUGUAUGACUCAAAAGCCGAGUUUAUAACUGUAGGGUACCUCAUUGUAUCCCAAAAUUUAGUGUAACUAUAGUACUGCAAGAUCUGUAUAUGUCAUAUCACACCCUUAAACUAACUCACAAUUCCCACUAAACUUACUAGCGCCAGACUUUAAAUAAUUUAUACAUUUAAAUAUGGGGACAAAAACUUUCAAGACAGUGUAACUUUCAAUUAUUCAAACUAUAAUAGUUUAUCAUAUUACAACAUUGCCUUUAAAUAUUGUCAUAUCAUGUAAAUCUAUUAAUUUAAUUCUACUACAUAAAUUACAAAUUCAUAAUUUAAUCCUUAAUUAAUUAACUAUUAUUAUUUUUAUUAUUAUUAUUUUAUUUCUAAUCUAAUAUUUUUUUCUAUUUAUCACGAUACACCAUAACUCUUUUUUCUUUUUCUUUUAAUUUUUAUUUAUAUCCAACAACUUUCUUUCAAUCCUAAUUUAAUUAAUUUACAACGUUUAACAUAGUAUUCCUUAUUUAAACUAAUAAUUAUUAUUUUUUAUUAUUAUUACUAUAUCUUAACCAAAUUCCAUGCCUAGAGACAUUCCACUUGGUCCAUAAUUUGAGUUUUGCUCAAAUUACAUAUUAAUUUUAAAAUUUUCUAUUUAUCAUAUUUAUCAUUUCUUCAAACUUUAAUCAUACUAUAUAACUAAAAUAUUAUUUACUUGAUCUAGUUCUACUAAGUUAAUAAAAUUUUCAAAUAAAACCUAAUUAACAAAUUAUUGAAUUUAUUCAAAUAAAGUUGAGCACAAACCUUAAACCUUCCAAAAUCUUCCACAAGCUUAAAAUUUUCUAAUCUUCCUUUCCUUUCCCUUUAGAGUUUCCACUCUUCCCUUCCACUUCUUCUUCAUGAAAAAUAAACAAAUAAAUCAUAUUAAUAUAAUAUUCUUCAUAAAUAUUCA